GAUGAACGCUGGCGGCGUGCCUAAUACAUGCAAGUCAAGCGAACAGACGAGGAGCUUGCUCCUCUGACGUUAGCGGUGGACGGGUGAGUAACACGUGGAUAACCUACCUAUAAGACUGGGAUAACUUCGGGAAACCGGAGCUAAUACCGGAUAACAUGUUGAACCGCAUGGUUCAACAGUGAAAGACGGUCUUGCUGUCACUUAUAGAUGGAUCCGCGCCGCAUUAGCUAGUUGGUAAGGUAACGGCUUACCAAGGCAACGAUGCGUAGCCGACCUGAGAGGGUGGUCGGCCACACUGGAACUGAGACACGGUCCAGACUCCUACGGGAGGCAGCAGUAGGGAAUCUUCCGCAAUGGGCGAAAGCCUGACGGAGCAACGCCGCGUGAGUGAAGAAGGUCUUCGGAUCGUAAAACUCUGUUAUUAGGGAAGAACAAAUGUGUAAGUAACUAUGCACGUCUUGGCGGUACCUAAUCAGAAAGCCACGGCUAACUACGUGCCAGCAGCCGCCGUAA
rnacentral:rRNA from 1 species